CUCUUUUAUGUCCCAGGGGGUCCGUAAAGCUCGAAAAAGUGCCAUGGAGUGCUGCUUUCCUGGGAUUGAGCUUGAUUUUUAUUUUGUAGAUGUUACUGUGCAACAAAACAGGAGCAAAUUUGAAGUAGUUCAGCUGGAUAAAAGCAUUCUAUUAAGUGAAAAAGAAUCUGCAAAUAAAGUGGAAAGAUGAAAAUGUUUUGGUGAGAGGAGAUGAAGGUCUUUUCAAGGAUUUGGCUAUUGCAAAUGAGUCCCAGUUAAGGGAAUUGGAAAUGCUUCACCCUAUCCUUCUGCUUUGUGGGUGGCAUUGGAUGUAUCAGGACAAUUUCAGUUGACACUGGGAAUCUUUUUACUUUGAGAUAAAAAUCUGUGGUUCUGCCUUU